rnacentral:rRNA from 3 species
UUUUCAGAGAUGAGAAUGUGCCUUCGGGAACCGUGAGACAGGUGCUGCAUGGCUGUCGUCAGCUCGUGUUGUGAAAUGUUGGGUUAAGUCCCGCAACGAGCGCAACCCUUAUCCUUUGUUGCCAGCGGUCCGGCCGGGAACUCAAAGGAGACUGCCAGUGAUAAACUGGAGGAAGGUGGGGAUGACGUCAAGUCAUCAUGGCCCUUACGACCAGGGCUACACACGUGCUACAAUGGCGCAUACAAAGAGAAGCGACCUCGCGAGAGCAAGCGGACCUCAUAAAGUGCGUCGUAGUCCGGAUUGGAGUCUGCAACUCGACUCCAUGAAGUCGGAAUCGCUAGUAAUCGUGGAUCAGAAUGCCACGGUGAAUACGUUCCCGGGCCUUGUACACACCGCCCGUCACACCAUGGGAGUGGGUUGCAAAAGAAGUAGGUAGCUUAACCUUCGGGAGGGCGCUUACCACUUUGUGAUUCAUGACUGGGGUGAAGUCGUAACAAGGUAACCGUAGGGGAACCUGCGGUUGGAUCACCUCCUUA